GGCUCCAGUACACAUUGACACGAGAUGUCAUCUUCCCUCCUCCUCCGCCACAAGGACAGCUGACCCGUGUCUGUCCCCUCCACCGAGCUUAUUGAAGAAGCCAGUGCCAAAUUCGCUCUAUACCAAGGAGGCGGAAUAGAUGAGAUCGCUGUAGUUCGCGCGCGGCAUGGAGAGGCUUACUUGAGACGGGAAGGAGACGUGGAAGACAGAGAUUCCAAGCGAGGGCAGGAGCUCAAGGCGGUGAGUCUCGAGGUCAUCGGGGCUACCGGGCGAGCGGCUGGCGGUGGAGAGAAGGGGAGGCCACAUCAGAGGGGAAACCCUAGGCGGCGCGGCGGCCGAGAGUUUGAGAUCAUCAUCCAUGGCGUUUGUAUCCCCAUCCUGCCCGGGUCUCUUCCCCUGCCCUGAUCACCUCUGAUGCGGCGGUUGACUAGCUGCGGGAAACGUUGGCGCAGCGGCUGCAGCAGGUGGCCGGCGAUGUCCAGGGCCGAUGCUCAGAAGAGGUCGGACAGGCCGUCGCCAUGGAACACCGCGAAGGCAAGCCGUAUCAGCCGUGCUUUGGCCCCGAGCGCCCGUUGAAGCUGGUGUCCACCGGCAACAAACGAAGCUUUUUCUCUGUUGCCGGCAAGAUCAGAAACUUCCCUUCUCAAUCAGGUUUAUCCGCGAUGCAUGAUAUCCUCGUGUUACUUCAUAAUAUUUUAGUUUUCCUUGCUGUGUAAAAUUGAAUCUGGGACCAUGCGGGUAAAAUUUGUACUACUACUUACGAUCAAUUAUGUUUUUGAUUUUCUGUUUUUCUAUAGUCUGGGAGUCCUCUUGACAAUCUGAAAUUUUCUAAAGCCGUCCUAAUCUUUUGCAAUCUCACAUGAUAAGCGGCUGUUGACUGGUAGCUGGAAACAGCACGGUAUCUAGGUCCAAUACACCGGGGAGCCCUCGCCGAUCUUUUCGACGCUGCUAAGGCGGUGGCUGCGGCAGUUGGUUGCAUGGUAGGUGUCUGGCGCUGUCCCGGUUCAGGGCGCAGGGAGAGGUCGGACAUGUGGUUGUCCAUUCAGGCGGGCGCUCGGUGAUGAACCGUUGUGGGACAUGGGAGAAACAGUGGUCUAUCCAAGGUUCUGUCGAGGCGCCAUCCUCAACUCUAUCCUAUUCGGCAACGCCGACGAUUAUAUCACCAUGACCAUCUGCUAUGAUGGCAUGCCGUGGAGAUACCGUGCGAGCAAUGGCCCAUGAAAACAGGGGAUGUGGCGGUGCUUUUCUUGGUCGCCGACCCUCCAUGGCGACUAGAGAGGUGACAACGACACCGAUUGGAUGAUUGGAUCAGGCUAGCUACCCUGCCAUGCCCUUUCUCAUCAGUGAUCCGGUCUUCCUGCCAGGAAGCUGCUGAAGAAGGAGAAAAAGGAAGCAUCCACUCUUUUCAGAGAAGUUCACUGUUCACCUGGAGUGCCUUAUGGUGUUCAUCAUCAGUGAACAAGCAACAAGGAGUUUGUUGCCAUCGAGUGUGUCAAAGAGUAUCCCUGAUAUUGUCUUAGCUGCCUUGGAUUUUUCCAAGGCAUUGGAUAAAGAUUCGUUCACCCACUGUAUAGCAUCGAAAAUAACAAGUUAAUUUAUUUCAUGUGCAUCUGCGAACUAACAUGGUCUUCAAUCUGGGCAUCAUAACUAUUAUGUUUGAGAAAUCAAUACUUCAGGGAUUAUGCGUGGCGGCGGUGGUGAAGGUAUAAUCACUACCUCCUCCGUUGCUGCAAAUAUUGGAGGGUUUUCAAACGAGGUUUUAAUCAAUGCAUGGACAUAGGAAAAACGAACUAGCAGUGGUUCAAAUUAAAGUCACUUAAAUGGGAGUGGAGGGAGUAUUAUAGAUCUUGCAAUGGAAAUAUUCUUUGUAGAGCUAUUUGAGUAUUCCAGAGAAAACAAUUUGUAGCCCUGACCAUUUUCUUCAUAGAUGUUCACGCCAUAUCUUACUAAAAGGAUCCUUGUUGUGAUUGAAGCUGGGAUUCGUCUUGUACACCAGAAGGAGAUGAAGGCCGAGAAAGGAUCUCCAGUGACAUCACCACCUACAAAGAAGGCGGAGAUACAGAGCCCAAUUGAAGCUCCGCCUGCCUUUCCACCAUUGUAGAGCUCCACUGCGAAACGACCAUCUUCACACAACGAGCGCAAAAGGCAAUAAAAGAAAGGUCGACAUGAAUCCAAAGGGAGUAGGUCAGGAACAGCAAAGCAAGGCCAGCACCUGCUGGCUGGAUUUUUGCCUGAGGCCAGGUUUCACUGUCCAAACGUAGUCACCGACAACCCUUAUGGCACUCAAGAUUCCAAAGGCGUUGUGUCAGUACAUCGUUGGUGAUUUUCCACAGAAAGUCAUGCUCCGCAACACCGUUGGAGACAUAUGGAGUGUUAGAUUGGUGGAAUGGAGGAACCGCAUCUUCAUUGAGCAUGUAUGGGAUGCAUUCACGGAGGACAACAGCGUUGUGUAAGGUGAUACUUUGUUAUUUACUUACACCUGACGCAAAAUGCAUUCGUGGAGGACAACAGCGUUGUGGAAGGUGAUACUCUGUUCUUUACUUACACCUGACGCAGACAACGGGAUAGUUACCUAUAUGCUAAGGUCUGGCCACAUGUUCACCUAAAUGUUCAAUUACUUGGUCCUUCUGAUGCUGCUAUUGAAUUAACAGCUAUUACUGUUUUUUCUUUUGCAAGAUCCAUAUAUAUGAUCUUUUAAAUGAGGUCGAAAUAUUGUCAGUUCAAAACAAGAUGAUGUUAGCCUGUAUGAAAACUAGGUGCUGAUUUGCCUCUCCCUCA